rnacentral:rRNA from 11 species
GGUGGUUUAAGCGCAAAGGAGUGCACUCUAGGCAAAUCCGGAGUGAUUAUCUGAAGCGUGAUGACGAGUCUCUUUUGAGACGAAGUGGUUGAUACCAUGCUUCCAAGAAAAGUCCCUAAGCUUCAGGCAAAAGGAAUCCGUACCCCAAACCGACACAGGUGGGCGAGGAGAGUAUCCUAAGGCGUUUGAGAGAACUCGGGAGAAGGAACUCGGCAAAUU